rnacentral:rRNA from 1 species
CAGUAGCCGCGGGAAUACGUAGGUGGCAAGCGUUAUCCGGAAUUAUUGGGCGUGAAGCGCGCGUAGGCGGUUUUUUAAGUCUGAUGUGAAAGCCCCCGGCUCAACCGGGGGGGGUCAUUGGAAACUGGGAAACUUGAGUGCAGAAGAGGAGAGUGGAAUUCCACGUGUAGCGGUGAAAUGCGUAGAGAUGUGGAGGAACACCAGUGGCGAAGGCGACUCUCUGGCCUGUAACUGACGCUGAGGAGCGAAAGCGUGGGGAGCGAACAGGAUUAGAUACCCCCGUAGUCCCUGUCUCUUAUAC